GGCGAGGUGGCGAAAUGGGAACGCUGCGGUCUGCAAAACCGCCAGGAGCCGGUUCGAUCCCGGCCGGCACCU
rnacentral:tRNA from 1 species